GGGGGGGCGCUAAUGCCUAACUAGGUACGCUUCUUUUUCCACCGGAGCUUGCUCCACCGGAAAAAGAAGAGUGGCGAACGGGUGAGUAACACGUGGGUAACCUGCCCAUCAGAAGGGGAUAACACUUGGAAACAGGUGCUAAUACCGUAUAACAAUCGAAACCGCAUGGUUUUGAUUUGAAAGGCGCUUUCGGGUGUCGCUGAUGGAUGGACCCGCGGUGCAUUAGCUAGUUGGUGAGGUAACGGCUCACCAAGGCUACGAUGCAUAGCCGACCUGAGAGGGUGAUCGGCCACAUUGGGACUGAGACACGGCCCAAACUCCUACGGGAGGCAGCAGUAGGGAAUCUUCGGCAAUGGACGAAAGUCUGACCGAGCAACGCCGCGUGAGUGAAGAAGGUUUUCGGAUCGUAAAACUCUGUUGUUAGAGAAGAACAAGGAUGAGAGUAACUGUUCAUCCCUUGACGGUAUCUAACCAGAAAGCCACGGCUAACUACGUGCCAGCAGCCGCGGUAAUACGUAGGUGGCAAGCGUUGUCCGGAUUUAUUGGGCGUAAAGCGAGCGCAGGCGGUUUCUUAAGUCUGAUGUGAAAGCCCCCGGCUCAACCGGGGAGGGUCAUUGGAAACUGGGAGACUUGAGUGCAGAAGAGGAGAGUGGAAUUCCAUGUGUAGCGGUGAAAUGCGUAGAUAUAUGGAGGAACACCAGUGGCGAAGGCGGCUCUCUGGUCUGUAACUGACGCUGAGGCUCGAAAGCGUGGGGAGCAAACAGGAUUAGAUACCCUGGUAGUCCACGCCGUAAACGAUGAGUGCUAAGUGUUGGAGGGUUUCCGCCCUUCAGUGCUGCAGCUAACGCAUUAAGCACUCCGCCUGGGGAGUACGACCGCAAGGUUGAAACUCAAAGGAAUUGACGGGGGCCCGCACAAGCGGUGGAGCAUGUGGUUUAAUUCGAAGCAACGCGAAGAACCUUACCAGGUCUUGACAUCCUUUGACCACUCUAGAGUUACCGCGUACCAAUCGGGGGCAAAGUGACAGGUGGUGCAUGGUUGUCGUCAGCUCGUGUCGUGAGAUGUUGGGUUAAGUCCCGCAACGAGCGCAACCCUUAUUGUUAGUUGCCAUCAUUUAGUUGGGCACUCUAGCAAGACUGCCGGUGACAAACCGGAGGAAGGUGGGGAUGACGUCAAAUCAUCAUGCCCCUUAUGACCUGGGCUACACACGUGCUACAAUGGGAAGUACAACGAGUCGCGAAGUCGCGAGGCUAAGCUAAUCUCUUAAAGCUUCUCUCAGUUCGGAUUGUAGGCUGCAACUCGCCUACAUGAAGCCGGAAUCGCUAGUAAUCGCGGAUCAGCACGCCGCGGUGAAUACGUUCCCGGGCCUUGUACACACCGCCCGUCACACCACGAGAGUUUGUAACACCCGAAGUCGGUGAGUUCAUGGCGCUAACAGCCAGCCGCCUAAGUGGAUAAG
rnacentral:rRNA from 1 species